rnacentral:rRNA from 1 species
CUACGGGCGGCUGCAGUGGGGAAUCUUAGACAAUGGGCGCAAGCCUGAUCUAGCCAUGCCGCGUGAGUGACGAAGGCCUUAGGGUCGUAAAGCUCUUUCGCUGGGGAAGAUAAUGACGGUACCCAGUAAAGAAACCCCGGCUAACUCCGUGCCAGCAGCCGCGGUAAUACGGAGGGGGUUAGCGUUGUUCGGAAUUACUGGGCGUAAAGCGCGCGUAGGCGGAUCAGAAAGUUGGGGGUGAAAUCCCGGGGCUCAACCCCGGAACUGCCUUCAAAACUCCUGGUCUUGAGUUCGAGAGAGGUGAGUGGAAUUCCGAGUGUAGAGGUGAAAUUCGUAGAUAUUCGGAGGGACACCAGUGGCGAAGGCGGCUCACUGGCUCGAUACUGACGCUGAGGUGCGAAAGCGUGGGGAGCAAACAGGAUUAGAUACCCUUGUAGUC